CCUGGCUCAGAUUGAACGCUGGCGGCAUGCCUAACACACGCAAGUCGAACGGCAGCACAGUGUGUAGCAAUACACAUGGGUGGCGAGUGGCGGACGGGUGAGUAAUACAUGGGAAUCUGCCCAGUAGCGGGGGACAACCCGGAGAAAUCCGGGCUAAUACCGCAUACGCCCUACGGGGGAAAGCGGGGGACCGAAAGGCCUCGCACUAUUGGAUGAGCCCAUGUCGGAUUAGCUAGUUGGUAGGGUAACGGCCUACCAAGGCGACGAUCCGUAGCUGGUCUGAGAGGACGAUCAGCCACACCGGAACUGAGACACGGUCCGGACUCCUACGGGAGGCAGCAGUGGGGAAUAUUGGACAAUGGGGGAAACCCUGAUCCAGCAAUGCCGCGUGUGUGAAGAAGGCCUGCGGGUUGUAAAGCACUUUCGGUGGGGACAAAAAGCGCCGUGCCAACACCACGGUUUUUGAUUUAACCCAUAGAAGAAGCACCGGCUAACUCUGUGCCAGCAGCCGCGGUAAUACAGAGGGUGCGAGCGUUAAUCGGAAUUACUGGGCGUAAGCGCACGUAGGCGGCG
rnacentral:rRNA from 1 species